rnacentral:rRNA from 1 species
GAUUUCGGGUGGGUUCCAGCGGUCCGCCUAUGGUGAGUACUGCUGAGGCCUACCUUUCUGUCAGUGACGGGCUCUUGGACUUAAUUGUCUGGGACUCGGAUCUGGCGUUGUCACUUUGAGAAAAUUAGAGUGUUCAAAGCAAGCUUACGCUCUGAAUACUUUAGCAUGGAAUGACAUGAUAGGACUCUGGCCUAUCUUGUUGGUCUGUAGGACCGGAGUAAUGAUUAAGAGGGACAGUCGGGGGCAUUCGUAUUUCAUUGUCAGAGGUGAAAUUCUUGGAUUUAUGAAAGACGAACUACUGCGAAAGCAUU